AUGGUGUGUCUGCUGUACUCUGAUGGUAACUUCAGUGAAGAUCAGAGAUACCAGAGCCUUGUCAUUGCAGAUAUUCCUCUGGAAAAAAAAUAUAAAAAAAUCCUAAAUAACUCAAGAGAGACCAUGAUUUUAACUCAGUUUCCACUAAAGCCUUAUCCAUUCACUCCAGCACAACAUAGACUUCAAAACAACAGGUAAUUUGUUGAAUUACAGUACAUGCUGUCUCUCUGUUCUGUGAGAACCCAUUAAGCUCAAUUACUAUUUCUGUUUCCAUAGAGCCUUUAAUAACCCUUUUCUCAAAGUAUUUUGCAAAGAUUAAUGCUGUACAUUUUCCUGACACUUACAAAUCACUGUUUUGUCAUUUUUAUACUUCUAUAUAAUUAGUAACAUUCUAAAAUUUAAGUUCUGAAUUAUCUUGGGGCAAGUAACUUAGCAUAUUAUUUAGGAUGCUUGAUAACGUAACAAAGCUCUGGUCAAAUGACUUCUUCCUCCUACCAAGAUCAAGGGUUUGAGUAGAAGCAUCUGGCUAAAAUUCCAUCAACUAUCUGAGAGGAUGGUGAGAAUGAGUAGGUAAUUAAAUUAAUUAAUUCAAUUAAUUUUACUUUUCAUAUGCGUACCUGAGUGCCUGGGGAUGUUUUGAUGGGUUUGCAGUGUGGGUAUUUUAUUGUUGUUGGGCUUUUAUGUUUAUUUUUGUUUGGGUUUUUUCUUUGUUGGUAAGGGCAGGCAUGGUACUAUAAUGAUAUAAUAUUUUGUGAGAGCUUCACUCAGUUGUUACACCUGAAAAAUCAAUGAAAAACCAAAACUUCAGCAACAGUAAAAAUCUGUAUUCUU
rnacentral:lncRNA from 1 species